GCAGGAAGGGAGGAAGGAAAGAAGGCAGGCAGGAAGGCAGAAAGGCAGGAAGGGAGGAAGGAAGGAUAAGGAAGGAAGGAAGGAAAGGAGGAAGGAAGGAAGGAUGGAACAAAGACAGGAAAGAAGGAAGGAAAAAAGGCAGGAAGGCAGAAAGGGAGGAAGAAAGGAAGGCAGGAAGGAAGAGAGGAAGGAAGGCAGGAAAAAAACCCAUCAAGGGCUUACCUUCAUUCCCCCACACCAGACCCAAGCCUUCCGGAAGGUGCCGGAGUCCAGCCCCAGCAGGUCCAGGGGUUCCCGAAGGAUGAACGGCUUCGGCGAGAAUAACAAAUGGACACGACAGCAGUGUGUCCGACUGGCCGCCUUACUGUGGCAAGCCUGGCAUUAUAUUUGUUAGCGAUUUCCUUGUAGCGUGCGUCACCUACGCUUCUCGGCUUUACCUAAUUCUAAACACGUUCCUUUCUGUAAUCGCCCAUCAAGGAACCUCAUGGUUAUUUUCUUGUAACGUUCCCUCCUGGCCUUUGCUUAUCGAGCAAUUUCUUCAUAUUAUUUUCAUUAUGUAUCUACGUUUAUUUAUAGUCUAUAAAGCAUUUGCUUUGCUAUUUUUGUGAAGGGU